CCUACGGGCGGCAGCAGUGGGGAAUAUUGCACAAUGGGCGCAAGCCUGAUGCAGCCAUGCCGCGUGUGUGAAGAAGGCCUUCGGGUUGUAAAGCACUUUCAGCGAGGAGGAAGGUGGUGAACUUAAUACGUUCAUCAAUUGACGUUACUCGCAGAAGAAGCACCGGCUAACUCCGUGCCAGCAGCCGCGGUAAUACGGAGGGUGCAAGCGUUAAUCGGAAUUACUGGGCGUAAAGCGCACGCAGGCGGUUGAUUGAGUCAGAUGUGCAAUCCCCGGGCUUAACCCGGGAAUUGCAUCUGAUACUGGUCAGCUAGAGUCUUGUAGAGGGGGGUAGAAUUCCAUGUGUAGCGGUGAAAUGCGUAGAGAUGUGGAGGAAUACCGGUGGCGAAGGCGGCCCCCUGGACAAAGACUGACGCUCAGGUGCGAAAGCGUGGGGAGCAAACAGGAUUAGAUACCCGCGUAGUC
rnacentral:rRNA from 1 species